rnacentral:rRNA from 1 species
UGCCAGCCGCCGCGGUAAUACAGAGGGUGCAAGCGUUAAUCAGAAUUACUGGGCGUAAAGGGUGUGUAGGUGGUUAGGUAAGUUAGGUGUGAAACCCCUGGGCUCAACCUGGGACUUGCAUUUAAAACUGCUUAGCUAGAGUAUUGUAGAGGGUUGUGGAAUUUCCGGUGUAGCGGUGAAAUGCGUAGAUAUCGGAAGGAACACCAGUGGCGAAGGCGACAACCUGGACAGAUACUGACACUGAGACACGAAAGCAUGGGGAGCAAACAGGAUUAGAUA